UACGUAGGGACCAAGCGUUGUUCGGAUUUACUGGGCGUAAAGAGCUCGUAGGCGGCUGUUCAAGUCGAACGUGAAAACUCGGAGCUCAACUCCGAGCCUGCGUUCGAUACUGGACGGCUAGAGUCUGGUAGGGGGAUCUGGAAUUCCUGGUGUGAGCGGUGGAAUGCGCUGAUAUCAGGAGGAACACCGGUGGCGAAGGCGGGAUCCUGGACCGGUAUUGACGCUGAGGCGCGAAAGCCAGGGGAGCGAACGGG
rnacentral:rRNA from 1 species